rnacentral:rRNA from 1 species
GUGCAGCAGUCACGAAUCUUCGGCAAUGGGGGAAACCCUGACCGAGCGACGCCGCGUGUGGGAUGAAGGCCCUUGGGUUGUAAACCACUGUCAGAGGGGAUGAAAUGCCGGAAAGUUAUCUCUCCGGUUUGACAUAGCCUCAGAGGAAGCACGGGCUAAGUUCGUGCCAGCAGCCGCGGUAAGACGAACUGUGCAAACGUUAUUCGGAAUCACUGGGCUUGAAGAGUGCGUAGGCGGUUUCGUAAGUAGGGUGUGAAAGCCCCC